rnacentral:rRNA from 1 species
UACGGAGGGGGCAAGCGUUGUUCGGAAUUACAGGGCGUAAAGGGCGCGCAGGCGGCUGCUCAAGUCAGGCGUGAAAGGCCUGGGCUCAACCCGGGAAUUGCGCUUGAGACUGGGCUGGCUUGAGUGCGGGAGAGGAUGGUGGAAUUCCCAGUGUAGAGGUGAAAUUCGUAGAUAUUGGGAAGAACACCGGUGGCGAAGGCGGCCAUCUGGACCGCAACUGACGCUGAGGCGCGAAAGCGUGGGGAGCGAACAGG